rnacentral:lncRNA from 1 species
GCAUUGUUUUCUGUAGAUGUGUACUGAAGGUGUUUGUGUUUGUGUGUGUGUGUGUGUGUGUGUGUGUUUACAGCGCUGUGUUCUCCUCCGUGUGUGAAUGGAGGGAAGUGUGUGGACAUCAACACCUGCAGCUGCUCAGACGGAUGGACAGGAGCGCGCUGUCAGAGAGAACCCGUCAGGUGUGUGUCGGCGUGUAGAAACGGUGGUGUGUGUGUGGGACUCAACAGAUGCCAGUGUGUGGAUGGAUUUACUGGAAGCCUCUGUGAGACAGCCGUCACUACGCCGUGUGUUCCUCCCUGUCAGCAUGGUGGCGUCUGCGGGCCUCUGAACACCUGUGUGUGUGUGACGGGGACGAGCGGCAUACGCUGUGAGAAACUCGUGUGUCCCGUCGUGACUACGGUGGUCAGUAUGGCCCGCGCCGUGCGGAAAGGCUUUCGGGAGAGUUACGUGGACCGCUGCGGACCGCUGGGAGUCCAGCU